UACGAAGGGGGCGAGCGUUUGUUCGGAUUUACUGGGCGUAAAGGGCGCGCAGGCGGCUUUGUUUGUCAGGCGUGAAAGCCCCGGGCUUAACCUGGGAACUGCGUUUGAUACGGCAGGGCUAGAGUUCGGGAGAGGAGCGUGGAAUUCCCAGUGUAGAGGUGAAAUUCGUAGAUAUUGGGAAGAACACCGGUGGCGAAGGCGGCGCUCUGGACCGAGACUGACGCUGAGGCGCGAAAGCGUGGGGAGCAAACAGG
rnacentral:rRNA from 1 species